AAGAACUCCAUUUCUUUUUCUAAGGUGGAUGGAUUUGCCCGCAGGGUCUUUUCAUGGAGUCCGAAACUGGAAGCGCUACGUGCCCCUGCGGGACUCAUGGCGGAGCGAGUUACGUCGACUGGAGCGGAAGUACCGGAUCGACGGGAACUCGACGGAGCCGGACGCGGUGACCCCGACGCGGAUCCUACUCAUGUUCCCGAACUUCCUGAACCUGGGCCAGAAGCCGUUCACGGUGCUCUCGGAGCUGUGCAGCAGCAGCGACGUCUGCCUCCCGUCCUUCUUCAGCUACCCCGAGUUCGCCGGGCUCAUCCCCCUCUCCGGCAACGACUCCGCCCGCCAGGCCAUCUUCACCCUCCACCUCCGGGCCCUCCACCUGGGGAGGGAGGACAGGGCCGAUGCGCUGCCCUUCCGCACCAAGUGCGCGCUCGUCAAACGGCGCAUGGAGAAAAGCCUCAUCUCCGAUGACCGCAGGUGGCGAUUCCUCCAGAACAACGACGUGAUAUCAGCCAAUGGAGACUUGACGGCGGCUAUGGCUGAAACCUACAACCAAAUCCCGAAGGAGUUCAAGGAGAGGGUGGAGUUGCCGCGUUCUUCGGCCACCAAGCAACGUUUCCAAAAGCUCUAUGCAUCCGCGUCGUCGGCGUCAUCCCCGAAUGCAAUUCGACCUGGCCCGGGGAAGAAUCACCUCGUACGCGCCGAGAUCGGCUCGCAGAAGGAAGUCGAUUCCACCAUCGAUGUCGAAUGA
rnacentral:lncRNA from 1 species